rnacentral:rRNA from 1 species
AACGGGUGAGUAACACGUAAGCAACCUGCCUUUAAGACGAGAAUAACAAUUGGAAACAGUUGCUAAGGCUGGAUAGGAAAUAAAAAGGAAUCUUUUUAUUUUUAAAAGACCUUUUUCGGAAGGUAUGCUUAAAGAGGGGCUUGCGUCACAUUAGUUAGUUGGUAGGGUAAAGGCCUACCAAGACGAUGAUGUGUAGCUGGACUGAGAGGUUGAACAGCCACAUUGGGACUGAGACACGGCCCAAACUCCUACGGGAGGCAGCAGUAGGGAAUUUUCGGCAAUGGAGGAAACUCUGACCGAGCAACGCCGCGUGAACGACGAAGUACUUCGGUAUGUAAAGUUCUUUUAUUGAAGAAGAAACAAUAGUGGAAAAACUAUCUUGACGUUAUUCAAUGAAUAAGCCCCGGCUAACUAUGUGCCAGCAGCCGCGGUAAUACAUAGGGGGCGAGCGUUAUCCGGAAUUAUUGGGCGUAAAGGGUGCGUAGGCGGUUUAAUAAGUCUCUAGUUUAAUUUCAACGCUUAACGUUGUCCUGCUAGAGAAACUGUUUAACUAGAGUGAGAUAGAGGUAAGCGGAAUUCCAUGUGUAGCGGUAAAAUGUGUAAAUAUAUGGAGGAACACCAGAGGCGUAGGCGGCUUACUGGGUCUUUACUGACGCUGAUGCACGAAAGCGUGGGGAGCAAACAGGAUUAGAUACCCUGGUAGUCCACGCCGUAAACUAUGAGUACUAAGUGUCGGGGUUAAACUCGGUACUGAAGUUAACACAUUAAGUACUCCGCCUGAGUAGUACGUACGCAAGUAUGAAACUUAAAGGAAUUGACGGGAUCCCGCACAAGCGGUGGAUCAUGUUGUUUAAUUCGAAGAUACACGAAAAACCUUACCAGGUCUUGACAUACUCUGCAAAGCUAUAGAAAUAUAGUGGAGGUUAUCAGGGAUACAGGUGGUGCAUGGUUGUCGUCAGCUCGUGUCGUGAGAUGUUAGGUUAAGUUCUAAAACGAGCGCAACCCCUGUCGUUAAUUGCCAGCACGUUAUGGUGGGGACUUUAGCGAGACUGCCAAUGAAAAAUUGGAGGAAGGUGGGGAUUACGUCAAAUCAUCAUGCCCCUUAUGAUCUGGGCUACAAACGUGAUACAAUGGCUAUUACAAAGAGUAGCUGAAACGCGAGUUUUCGGCAAAUCUCAAAAAAAUAGUCUCAGUUCGGAUUGAAGUCUGCAACUCGACUUCAUGAAGUUGGAAUCGCUAGUAAUCGCGAAUCAGCAUGUCGCGGUGAAUACGUUCUCGGGGUUUGUACACACCGCCCGUCAAACCACGAAAGUGGACAAUACCCGAAAGCGACAGCCUAACUGCGUAAGCAGAGGGAAUCGUCUAAGGUAGGGUCGAUGAUUGGGGUUAAGUCGUAACAAGGUAUCCCUACCGGAAGGUGGGGAUGGAUCACCUCCUUUCUA